UGUGGUGGAAUUUGGAAGAAGGUUCUAGAAAAUGUUGGACGGGGAGUUUUUGUGAGGGAUACUGGUGUGAAUCGAGGUCUUUGCUGGUGGGAGCUGGGAGAAGACGGGGAAAAGAUGGCUGAGGAUGCCGUUCCUGUUGCACAAGGUGCUUUGUGCAGAUGAAUAGCUUCAGGGAAGAAGAAGCAAUACUGCCGUAGGAGAGCCCAUUUGUUUGAGGUGGAUUUCAAGCGACCUUUGGAAGGUGCAAUGUGUAUGUCGAAAACAACAGAUUCUGGAAGAUUUGAGCUCCACUGUGCAGAUGUGACUGUUUAAGUUGAGAAGCGGCAUCCUGAUUGUCCGUGCUGAACUUAUUAACUCUUCAUGAACCACUUUCCCUAACAUAAAUGUGAAGGAUUUGGUGAUUUGUUAAGAAAAGCAAUGAUAUAUGCUCUGCAUUCAAUACAUUUGAGCAUUCAUUGUCGUCAAGUGACAGCAGAAGAUUGAUCCUUGCCAUUCAUUGAUGUCAAUUCACCCUCCAAUGACCUCCAUAACAACAUAAAGGGAGAGCUGUAUCAGGCUGAAACAAGAAACUUUAAUCGCAUCCAUUGAGAAUACAGCUGCUGCUCGAGUCGCCCCAAGGAGUCCCGGUUAGUAACUGAAUUACUAAUUACUGACAAUUUGAUUUGCCCUGUAAUAACUGGUGAGACUCAUCAUAAUGAGUACAGCCAUUCAUCCCUUCAAUUUGCAAACUGCCAAUGAAUAGUUUUUUUUUCCAGUAUGCACAGGGAAAUGGAUCUGGGUUUGUUUCAGUCCUACUGCACCUUUAACCCUUGCAGAAAGGUUUGGAUAUCACUGAGUCAUCAAAGCUGGAUUCACAGGAGCAGAUGCACAUCUUCUCAAAAAUGACAACAAAGUGUGAGGAGUACUUGCCACAUCAGAGACCACGUGCAGAAGGAGAAAGACUGGAAGAAUAAGAAAACAAGUAACUUUGAAGAAGCAGAGAGGGGAAGAGGUGGGGAGUACAGAAGGCAUACCUGUCAUAGGGAGGAGUGUGAGGUUGUCCAUCUGAUGGAAUGCUUUCAGUUCCAUCCAGUUAAUUGGCUGGAGAGAAAAAAAAAAGACUACAAAGAAGAUGUUGGAACUCUGAGCCUUGGAACACAGCAGUUGCUGGAAAGCUGAAAAAAAUGAGAAUGUUGGAAAUAGUCAACUGCUCAGACAACAUCUGUGCAGGGUGAAGAUGUUUGAGCUUACCUCAGAAUUAUUUGAUUUUAAUGCAGACAGGAAAAACAGGUUUCCCAAAAUCACUGAGUUCAGUAUUGCAAUAUACCCAGAUAGAAGAUGUGGUGUUGUUCCUUGAACUUUAUUUGAUUUUCAUGGAGAUAUUGCAGGAAAUCAAAGGUAAAAUAGGCAAAGCGGGAAUGGAAAGCGGCCAGUGACUGAGUGGGCAGUGAAGGAGUGGAGCUUUGAGGCUUUGGCUUGAGAGGUUUUGGCAGUUUUGGCAGUUGGAUUGUGCAAUCAAGUCAAUCAAGAUUUGAAUAGCUCAGUUUCAGCAGGAAUCAAUUGGUUGGGCAAUCAAGAUUUGAAUAGUUCAGACUCAAAAGAAAGCAGCUGAUUGGGCAAUUGUAAAUUGAAAAGCUCAAACAAAUAAACAGAGGGGUAGCUCAAGCAGAGCAGGCAGUGGAGAGUGGCCAAUGAGUGAGUGGAGCUUUGAGGCUUUGGCUUGAGGAGCAUCGGCGAGAAGAGGCGGAGGACGUGCUUGCUCCCAGUGAGGUAAGGCUGGGUAAGUUUCUUUAAUUAAUUUAAUUAACUUAGGAGUUGGUAAUGGAGGCAGUAGAUAGAGCAGUCCAGUGCUCCGUUUGCAGUGUUUGUGAAGUCAGGGCGAGCACAAUUGUCUCUAAUGAGUACGCCUGCAAAAGGUGCAUCAAGCUGCAGCUCCUGUCAAACUGAGUUAGGGAACUGGAGCUGGAUGAACUUCGGAUCAUUCGGGAGGCAGAGGUAGUAAUAGAUCAGAGUUUCAGGGAGACAGUCAGCCAUAAAAGUCAGGAGACAGGUAACUAGGUGACUGUCAGGAAAGGAAAGGGAACUAGCCAGAAAGAGCAGAGUGUCCCUGUAACCAUUCCAAUCAACAAUAAGUAUACCAUUUUGGAUACUGUUGGUGGGGAUGACCUACCAGGGACAAACUGUAGUGGUAGCAUCUCUGCAACUGAGGCUGGACCCUCAGUUCAGAAAGGAAGGAGGGAAAAGAGGAGAGCAGUAGUGAUAGGUGAUUCGGUAGUUAGGGGGACAGAUAAGAGGUUCUGUGAGAGAGGUCAAGAAUCCCAGAUGGUCUGUUGCCUCUCUGGUUCCAGGGUCUGCGAUAUCUCGGAUCAAGUUCUCGGUAUUCUCAGGGAGAUGGUGAGCAGCCAGAUGUUGUGGGGAUCAAUGACAUAGAUUAGAGUAGGGAUGAAGUCCUGAAGAAGGAAAAGAAAGAAAGUUGGGAAAGAAGUUAAAAAGCAGGACCUCAAAGGUGGUAAUCUUGGGAUUGUUGCCUGUGCCAGGAGACAGAGAGGUUAUGAACAGGAAGUUAUGGCAGAUGAAUGCGUGGCUGAAGAGUUGGUGCAGGGGACAGGUGUUCAGAUUUCUGGAUCACAGGAAUCACUUCUGGGGAAAGUCUAACCUGUAUGAAAAGGAGAGGCUGCAUCUGAACUGGAAAGGGGCCAAUAUCCAGGUUUUCUAGAGCUGUUGUGGAGGGUUUAAACUAGUUUGGCAGGGGGGGUGGAAAUCAGAAUGUGAGUGCAGAGAUUAGGGUAGAGGACAAGGACAUCAUGCUAUGUGUUCUGAGUUGGUGAGGAAGGACAGGCAGGUGACAAAACAUAAAUGUAGCCAGUUAGAGGAGUUGAAAUGUGUCUAUUUCAACACUAGGAGUAUUGGGAAUAAAGGGGAUGAACUUAAAGUAUGCAUUAGUAUGUGGAACUACCAUGUUGUGCCCUUACUGAAACUUGGCUGGAGGAAGGGCAGGACUGGCUGAUGCAGGUACUGGGGUUUAGGUGUUUUAUCAGAAACAGGAUGGGAGGUAGAAAAGGGGGGGGAGUGGCAUUAUUGGUCAGGAAUAGUAUCAUGGCUAUAGAAAGGGAGGACUUUCCAGAAGGUGUGUCUACUGAGUCGGUGUGGGUGCAAGUCAGAAAUAGGAAGGAAUCAAUCACUGUGCUGGGAGUAGUCUAUAGGCUCCCAAAUAGCCCUCGGGACACCGAGGAGCCGAUAAGUAGGCAGAGUUUAGAAUGGUCCAGGGAAUACAGGGUUGUAGUUACGGGUGAUUUCAACUUCCCUCAUAUUGACUGGCACCUCCUGACUGCCAAGGGGAUAGGUGGAGCUGAAUUUGUCAAGUAUGUUCAAGAAGCAUUCCUGACACAGUAUGUGGACCAGCCAAUGAGAGGAGAGGCCACAGUGGAUCUAGUUCUGGGUAAUGAGCCUGGUCAGGUGGCAGACCUCUUGGUGGGGGAGCAUUUUGGUGAGAGUGACCACAACUCCCUUAGCUUCAGCAUAGCUAUGGAAAAGGAUAAAAACAGACAAAAUGGGAAAGUGCUUAACUGGGGAAGGGCUAACUAUGAAGGGAUGAGGCAGGAACUAGCGAGAGUAAAUUGGAAACAGAUGUUCAAGGGUGAAAGCACAGAAGUAAUGUGGAGGAAGUUUAGGGACCACUUGUGCCGGGUUCAGGAGAGGUUUGUCCCACUGAGACAAGGAAAAAAUGAUAGGAAAAGGGAACCGUGGCUGAAAAACACAUGAGGCAACUCAUCAAGAGGAAGAAGAAAGCAUAUGUUAGAUAUAAGAAGCAGGAAGCAGGAGGGGCUCAUGAGAAACAUAGGGUAGCCAGGAAGGAGUUUAAGAAGGGACUUGGGAGAGCUCGAAGGGGGCAUGAGAAGGCCUUGGCAUGUAGGAUUAAGGAGAACCCCAAGGCAUUCUAUGCGUAUGUGAAGAACAGAAGGAUGACAAGAAUGAAGGUGGGGCCACUAAAGGAUAAAGAAGGCAACAUAUGCCUGGAGGCGGAGGAGGUUGGGGAGGUCCUAAAUGAAUACUUUGCUUCUGUAUUCACAAGUGAAAGGGACCUUGAUCAGGGUGAGGUUGAAAUAGAACAGGCCUGUGUGCUGGACAAUGUGGAGAUUAAAGAAGAAGAAGUGUUGGAUCUUCUUAAAAACAUCAAGAAGUCCCUAGAGCCAGAUGUGAUAUACCCCAGGUUGUUUUGGGAAGUGAGAGAAGAGAUCGCUGGAGCAGUAGCUAUGAUCUUUGAAUGAAACCUCUCUGGCUGCAGCGAAGAUGCCGGAGGAUUGGAGAAUGGUAAAUGUAGUUCCCUUGUUUAAAAAUGGUAAUAGGGAGAAUCCUGUGAACUGUUGAGUCUUAUGUUGGUGGUCUGCAAACUAUUGGAAAGGAUUCUUAAGGAUAGGAUCUAUGAGAUUUUGGAGAAGUACAGUCUACUCAAGGAUAGUCAACAUGGCUUUGUGAAGGGAAGGUCAUGCCUCAUGAGCCUAAUUGAGUUUUUUGAAGAGGUAGCAAAAGAAAUUGAUGAGGAUAGGUCAGUGGAUUUGGUCUACAUGGAUUAUAGCAAGGCAUUUGACAAGAUCCCCCACGAGACACUCAUCCAGAAAGUUAUGAGGCAUGGGAUCAGUGGGAUCUUGGCUGUUUGGAUAAAAAAAUGGCUUAUAGGAAGAAAGCAGAGGGUAGUAGUGGAAGGAAAAUAUUCUGCCUGGAGGUCGGUGACUAGUGGAGUGCCGUAGGGAUCUGUCCUGGGAUCCCUGUUAUUUGUGAUCUUUAUAAAUGACCUGGAUGAAGAGGCAGAAGGAUGAGUAAGUAAGUAUGUGGAUGACAUGGAUAUUGGAGGAGUUAUGGAUGGAGCUGUAGGUUGUCGAAGGUUACAAGAGGAUAUAGACAAGAUGCAGAGUUGGGCAGAAAAGUGGAAGAUGGAGUUCAAUCCGGAUAAGUGUGAGGUGAUGCAUUUUGGAAGGACAAACCAGAAGGCUGAGUACAGGGUUAAUGGUUGGUUACUUAAGAGUGUAAAUGAAUAGAGGGACCUUGGGGUUCAAAUCCAUACAUCCCUCAAGGUCACUGCACAGGUUGAUAGGGUAGUUAAGAAGACCUAAGGGAUGCUAGGCUUCAUUAACAGGGGGAUUGAGUUCGAGAGUAGAGAUGUCAUGUUGCAACUCUACAAAUCUCUGGUGAGACCGCACUUAGAAUACUGUGUUCUGUUCUGGACACCUCAUUUUAGGAAGGAUGUGGAAGUUAUGGAGAGGGUGCAGAGGAGAUUUACCAGGAUGUUGCCUGGUUUGGAGAACAAGUCAUAUGAAGCAAGCCUCGCAGAGCUGGGACUUUUCUCUUUGGAGCGUAAAAGGAUGAGAGGGGACUUGAUAGAGGUCUACAAGAUUAUGAGAGGCAUAGAUAGGGUGGAUAGCCAGUACCCGUUUCCCAGGGGAUGGAUAGCAAACACAAGAGGGCAUAUGUACAAAGUUAAGGCAGGGAAGUUUAAGGGAGACAUCAGGGAUAAGUUUUUUUACACAGAGGGUUGUGAGUGCCAGGGAUGGUGGUGGAGGCUAAAACAUUAGGGGUAUUUAAGAGCCUCUUGGACAGGCACAUAGAUGAAAGAAAAAUAGAGGGUUACAGGGUAAUGUGGGUUUAGUACUUUUUUUAAGGAACACAACAUCGAGGGCUGAAGGGCCUGUACUGUGCUGUAGUAUUCUAGUGUUCUAGUGGGACAGAGAGUUAACAUGACAGGCAACGGGAACGUUUAGGGUCAGCCUUCCAGAUUCAAACAAGACUCUGUACAAAGUAGUCAUCAACUUUGAUAUUUUUAAACAAUCUAGCAUGGUAACAGACGUUUUUGACUCAAAGAGUCUGUACUACCCAAUUACGCCAAUGUGACCGAUUAACCUACUAACCCAUACAGCUUUGAGAUUUGGAAGGAAACAGGAGUACACAGAGAAAACCCAUGCAGAACGUACAAACUCCUUACAGACAGUGGUGGAUUUGAACCUGGGUCUGGCACUGUAAGAGGACAAUGCCAAUCGCUCUGCUGCCAUGCUGCCCUUUUCUGUUUGAUCUUAUCAUGGAUUUUGCAUUGUGGGUAACAAAUGUAAUGGAUACAUCUAGGUAAUUGCUGCUUCACCCAGAAGAACUGUUUGUACCCUUGGGUGAUAGAAAGAGAAAAAUGAAAGGACAGGUUUUGUUUCUCCCAUGCACAUACUGGAAAGUGUCAUGGGAAAGAGGAUGGUGGAGAUGGAAAAACAAAACAGGGAGUCAUGAAGGGAGUGGUCCCUUUUGAAUGAUGAAAGCCCGGGGGGAUGGAAGACGUGCUCAGUGGUUGUAAUUCACUGUAGGUUGCAGAUAUUAUGGAAGGUUUGGUGGCAUAGGAAACAAAGGCAAUGGGGGUCUUAUCCUUGCUCUGGCUAAGAGAAAUGAGAGUAAGCAAAGAAGUUAGGAAAGGAAGGCUGCAUGGUCUCAUACAAGGAUAUACAAUGUCUAUUAUAAGUCAAAGAACUUUCCACUAUGUUUCUUUCCUCUAUAUUUCCCUCAACAGCUACACUCCAUUUCCCCAUUUCCUGAACCUCCUUCACAUCACCUCCGAGUAAAUCAGUCCACCCUGAGAUAUCUUCUUUUUUCUUUAACAAUGGCUUUUGCUCUGCCAAUGUUACUCAAAGAAAGUCAUAUAAAAUAGUGAAGUUUACUGCAUAAGCUGGUGUUGAGGUGUGGAGUAUAAAAUUUGAUGGGGUGGUCUUCCAGAACCAAGAACUCAAUGAUAACUGGGAAGUUGACCAUUCCGAGAGAUGCAGCUGAUGUUAAUGCAGUGUUAUGUCUUCUCUGCUGGAGACCCGGAUGGCUCAGCUUCAGGAGGAAAAACUCAACAUGAGUCUUGUAUCUCAGAGGAUCUGGGUGUGUGCAUCCCAUGUACCCAAUAAUCCUUGUCAUCUGAGUAGCCUGUUCUCACAGUCUGCUUGGGUUUACACAUAGUUCUGCAACCUAAUUAUCUGCCCGUUCAGGUGAUUACAUUUGUGGGAUUUAAUUAUUAUUUUUUCUCUACUGUGAAAUGUGAUUAUAAAUUUCUUAAUUGAUGAGGGGCUUAGAUAGAGAUUACAGCUGGUAUCUUUAUCCCCAUGGUCAAAAUAUCUACUACGAGAGGACAUGCAGUUAAGCAUGAAAGGGCAAGUUCAGAAGAGAUGUACAGGACAAGCUUUUUCCUGCAUGGAGUGGUGGGUGGCUGGAAUGUGCUUCCAGUGGUGGAGACAAAUAUGAUAGUGACAUAUAAGAUGCUACUGGAUAGGUAUAUGGAUAUCCAGGGCAUGGGGGUACAUGGACCAUGUGCAGGCAGAAGAGAUUAGGUAUCAUUAGCUUAAAUAGUUUGGCACAAUAUAGAACAUACAGCACAGGAUAAGGCCCUUUGUCCCAUGAUAUUACGCUGAACUAAUUGAACUGGUGAUUAAAAGCCUAUCUAAAUGAAGCAAUUCUGCCUGCACAAGGCCUAUAUGCCUCAACGACCUCUGUUGCCCUACACAUUCCCUCUCCCCUUUAAUGAAUGCAAGCAUUAGAUAUUUUGCUCUUGGGGAAAACAUACCAGCUGCCUGCUCUGUCUAUGCCUCUCGUGCUCUUAUAAACUUCUAUCAGGACUGUCCUCAGCGUCUACUGCUUCUGGAGCAAACUACCCAAACACCUGCUAUAACUUAUGCCCUCUAACCCAGACGAUAUUCUGGUAAACCCCUUCUGCAAUCUCUUCAAAGCCUCCACAUCCUACCUAUAACAGGAGGAUCAGAAAUAGAAUGCAAUGCUGAAGGGUUUUUCCUUGCUGCUGUUCUGUUCUAUGUUCUAUGUGUAGAGUAAGACAGAUUUGAGUACCCUCUGUCCUUAUUGCCAAGUUGUAGGAAACAUGAUACAAAAAUAUGGCUUGUAUCUCAUCAUUGGAGUCAGCCCAUUCGACAAAGGUCAGGGAUUAAAUAUGGGUUUGUUGUGUGUGACUGUGUUUACAUAAAUCAUUAAUUUGGAAGUCCAAAGGAGUGUCUCUUCAAACAAAAAGUGUAUGUCAAUAAAUCUGGCUCCUGGAAUUUUUCUAAUUAAACCUAGCAAUAAACAGCAAGAAAGGAUUGUCAAAGUAAACUGCCCCUGAAGCUGUCAUACUGUAAAAAGGUUUUUUGAAACUAAGGGAGGAUUUAUUACUCAAUGGAUGAUGAUCUAUGAAAGGAGAUGAGUGCUUGUUCCGCUGAACAGCUGUCAGCCCCGUGAACGGAGUGUAUUCUGUGAACAAAGUUAAAACCUGACAGGUAAAGAACUUUGAAAGUGAACAUGACAUGUAUAAUGUCAAUUUUUCUGUAACCUGUCAAUGGUAUAACAGCUCUUAUAAUUUUAUCUUUGCUUGAAACACUUUGUAUGCUAUUAAGAUUCGGGCAGCAAGAAAUAACAUUACUUCUAGUGAGCGAUUUAUUUAAUGCGCAUGUAUUGUUUGCUGGAAGUGCUCCUGAGGGACGUGAAGAGGCAGAGGCAGCAGUUCAAAGAGAGAAGGGGCUGGACUGGAGACAAAGUCUGGCAGAUUGGAGCCACUAACUUUCUGGAAAUCAGCAAGGAGAUGGAGAAUGUGGGUACAAACUGAUUCAUGAUUGUUUCUGUCUGUCCCUCAUGCAUACAGUCAAGAGGAAGGGAGGUCAGGGUUGAUGAUGAUACCAAUCACCACUGAAUUUACCAAUAUAUGGUAUCCCUGCCACUCUUACACUGGUAACCACCAGCCAAUAUUACAUUCCUGACUCAGCUGAAUGAGGAAUUCCCCUCUCCCCCACCCCCCCCAACCCACUUGCAGGUUGUGUCUGCUGAAUUCUCUUUCACUGUUGUGCCUGACGCUCUUUCCAUACUUAACCUCUUGCUGGGAUCUCCGAUUUCUGCCAUACUUCCCUGCUUAUUCUCUCCCCUCCCUCCUUUUCCCAAACACAUUUGCCCACUAAUAACAAAUAUUCAGCCGGUUAUCUGCCAAGGUCAGAGAUAGGUUACAUGCAAGGCUAGUAGACUUCUGGAAUUUAAACUCAUGUUGCACUAGUUUGAUAGAAGAGCACACAGAUGUGUCAAUAAACUCACUUAUUUACUCUUUAAAAUAUUGGAGAUAGUCAACACAAUGCAAAAAAAACCUAGAAUACCAGGCAGUUAUUUAACUCCUUACCCAGCCGUCACCCCCCUCCACGGUAUACUUCCGUUGGAUGGGGUAGUUGUGACAUUUCAGGUUGAAAGUCUGAAUCACUGUGCCCCUACAUGUCAUCUUACACCCAUUAGCCUCCACAUUCAACACAUAGGUCAUCAUAAUCGUGAACUAUACACAAAGUCCAAGAACAACCUAUGGAAGGCUAUUUUAAGAGCAACCAAACAAUUCCAAUUGAAUUUAGAGAAGGAAUCAGAUUCAUGUCAACUCUGGCAAGGUUUGCAGCAUUACUUCCUACAAAGCUAGACCUAACAUCAUGAAUAGCUGUGACGCUUCACUCCCGGAUGAGCUCAACGCCUUUUAUGUGCACUCAGGAUGGAGGAGUAUGUGCACUUUGAAAGGGAAAAUAAAGCUCCAUCUGUGCAAAUCACUGCAGCAUCUGGUGACCCUGUGAUCUCCAUCUCAGAGGAGAGACCUCAAAACAUAUUUCAAGAGGGUGAAUGCCAGCAAGGCUUCAGGUGCUGAUGGAGCAGCUGGCAGGGCACUGAAAACCUAUGCCAACCAACUGGCAGGAGUGUUGAAGGGCAUCUGCAAUCUCACUGCUGCAACUGGAGGUUCCCACCUGCUUCAAGAGUGUGGCGAUCAUACCAGUGCCCAAGAAGAGCAGGGUGAGCUGCCCUCAAUAACUAUCACCCAGGGGCACUCACAUCUACUGUGAUGAAGUGCUCUGGGAGGUUUGUCAUGGUCAGAAACAACUCCCAGCUAUGCAAGAACCUGGUCCUGCUGCAACUUGUCUAUCUGUACAAUAAGUUUACAGCAGAAGUAAUCUCUUUGGUUCUCCACUCAGCCUUCAACACAAUCAUACCCUCAGUUCUAAUCAACAAGCUCCAAACCCUGGGCUUCUGUACCUCCCUCUGCAACUGAAACUUUGACUUCCUCACCAGGAGACCAUAGUGUGGGCGGAUCAGAAAUAACAUCUCCUCCUUGCUGGCAUUCAACAAUGACACAUCUCAAGGAUGCGUGUUUAGUCCACUGCUCUACUCUCUCUACAUUCUUGAGUAUGUUGCUAGGCAUAGCUCAAAUGCUAUGUCUAAAUUAUCUAAUGACAUAAAUAUUGUUGGCAAUUUUUGAUGGUGCUGAGAAGGUGUACAGGAGCUGGUUGAGUGGCGUUGCAACAACAUCCUUGCACACAACAUCAGUAAGACCAAGGAAUUGAUCAUGAAGGGGAAGUUGAGGGAACACACACCAGUCCUCAUUGAGGGUUCAACAAUGGAAAGGGUAAGCAGUUUCAGGUUCCUGGGUAUCAAUGUCUCUAAAAAUUCAUCCUGGGCCCAAUAUAUUGACUUGAUUACAAACAAAGCACAACAGUAACUGCAUUUCAAUAGGAAUUUGCAGAGACUUCAUAUGUCACUAAAGACUUUAGGAAAUUAUUACAUAUGUACCCUGGAGACCAUUCCAACUGGUUGCAUCUCCAUAUGCAAUGUCAAUGCCACUACACAGGAUCAGAAAAAGCUGUAGAAAGUUGGAAACUCAGCCAGCUCUAUCAUGGGAACGAGCCUCCUCAAUACAAAGGAUACCUUUGAAUGGCAACGCAUCAAAAAAGGCAGCAUCCAUCAUUAGGUGCCCCUACAUUGUUCUCGUGCAGGUGUAGAAACUCUGAACUAAAUACCAAAUUAAACCAAAGUCAAUGAAGACAGGAUGGCAGUAAGAUUAACCAUUUACUGUUCACUCUUCCACAUUAACAUAUGGUGAAAACUGUUGAUAAAACAAUACAAAAUAUAUACAGUAUUUGUUUCCUUCUUGGCAUCACAUUUACAUCAUAAAUACUUGUAAAAGUAAAAUUACAACAAACUAUAUUAAAGUCUCAUUAAAGUACAACAUACAGUCAGAAUCUACCUACACCAUCAACGGCUUUAGACACACUUCAACAAAAAACUUUCCAGCAACACUUUCAAUAGCACAAGAAAAUAAACUUUAUCAAGCGUCAUUACUUUUAACAGAAUCAGUGUUAACAUUUUUACUUCAACAUAUUGACUGUCAUAUGACCUUACGGCGUUGCUUCUAUGAUGUUUCUUAGUGCGUAGAAAUGGAACUUUUCUCACGUUGAUCCUGCACACACAAUCCCCUGCCUUCCCGUUUCUCCAAACCGGUAUUUACCCACAAGACGAGGCGAAACCAGGUGUGACGUCAUCACAUGCCGCGAUACAUCACAGACAAGGAAUUUACCUUCAACAACUGCAACUUAGUUAUCAACCUGAACUUUAACCAGAAAAUAGUUACAAACGAAGUACUAAAGAAAAAUGUAAUAAAGCUAAAUAAAUGCCUUAAGGGCAACACAGCCCCGCAUCACCCAGAAUAUGACCACUUCUCAUUGCUACCAUCAAGGAGGAGGUACAGGAGCAUGAAGACACACUCUCGAUGUUUCAGGAACAAAUCUCUUUGCCUCCACCAUUUGAUUUCUGAAUGGACAUUGAACCAAUGAACACAAUCGCCAGUUAUUUUUACUCUCUGUUUGCACUACUUAUUUAAUUUAAUAUAUUAUACAUGCAUAUUUCAAUUUAUAGCUUUUUUAAAAAUAAUGUAUUGCAAUAUACUGGGGCCACAAAACAACAAAUUUCUCUACAAAUGCCAUUAAUAAUAAACCUGAUUCUGAUUCUGACUCGCACCCCUUUUCUGCUAGUUCCAACAGGAUCCCAAUGCUAAUCACAUUUUUCUCUUCCCACUCCUUUCCAUGUUCCACAUGGUCCACUCUCUCUGUGACUCCACAGUCUUCUCAACCCUCCCCAUCCUCUCCUGAAUUUCCCGGCACUUUCCCCUUGCAUCCUUUGGAGAUAUAAUACCUGUCCUUUCACCUCCUCCCUCACUACCAGCCACAGACCUAAGCGGCCCUUUCUGGUGAAACAGAGGUUCAACUGCAUUUCACCCUACCUGGCUGAUUGCAUUUAGUGUUCUUCACGUGGCCUCCUCUACAUCAGUAAAACAAAGCAUAUACUAUGCAACUAUUUUGCAGAACACUUAUGGUCUGUCUGCGAUGGCUAUCUUGAGCUACGGACUUAUGUCAUUUUAAUUCUCCUUCCCAAGACCACACCGGACUGUCUGCCUUUGGCCUUUUCCAUUGUUACAGAAAAGUUAACUUCAAAUUGGAACAACAACAUCUCAUAUUCCACUUGAGUAGUUUACAACCCAAUUGUAUGAACAUGGUAAGUCCUAAUUCAAGGUGACACAAAGUUGCCUGCCCACACAGUUUUCAUCUCCCUCUGUUCACCUGUCCCAUCACCUACCCCAGCUGGUUCCAUCUGCCCAUCAUUCCCUCCCCAUUUGGUUCCACCUAUCACCUAUCAGUCACUAUAACAGAAAUGGAAACUAUUGCUAUUCCUUCAUUGUCUCUGAAGCUCCCUUUCCAACAGUGCCAGGCCAACACCUGCACCAGAAGGAUUUCUUCAGUUUAAAAUGACAGCUCUGCACUAGCUUCUCAUGGGCAAAUAGGGUUAUGAAAUAAAUGCUGGCUUUCCCAAUGAUGCAAAUUGGAAAAAAAAACUAGAAAUCUGCAAAACCUGCAGCAAAAGUGUUUUUUCCAUUACACUUCAGAUGGAAAAAAAAGCUGUGAGACAGAACAUGACAGAGUUGUGAGUGUAAUCAGUCAAAACUCUGAGACUCUGCGCCCAUUGGGACAUGAGGUUGUAGGGCGUGUAAUAUUGGGAAUUUGGUUAACUCAGAGCGAACCAAAUUGCUUUAUGAAACCAACAAAAUUGUGCUGUAUCCUUAAGGUUUCCUGAAAGUGGUUGCUGUUUUGGUGAAGCUAUUUUUCUACAGAUUAAGUGGAAGACACUGCUAGUUAGUUUCUGGGAGUUUUCAAAGGAACAACCAAAGGAUAGAACAAAUACACACAGUGACUACGUACAAGGAGACACCCACACCCUAAAGAACUAAAGUAUAAACCAUUGAUAUGGACAAAUCUGAGAACUCACUUGCAGAAUGAGCAGUACUUAAGUUUACAAUGUUAAGUAUCAUAACCUUUGUUAUUUCUAACUUAUUAAUACAUACGGGGUUUGAUUUUUUAUUUCAAAAAAUAAAUUUUACCAAUAAUAAAAAAAUAUAAAAGAAUAAAGAAUAAACAGAGCAAAACUUUUGUAUAUUCUUAGGUUUAUGUGGUCACUUUGCACUCAAAUUAACAUUUUUGUUCUAAUUGUGUUCUUUAUUGUAAAAGUUGUGUUUAAUUUAUGUUUUUUUUCUUAUGAGUCCUGCAUACUUAAUGCUAUGUGCCUGUGAUGCUGCUGCAAGUUUUUCACUGUACUUGUGCAUAUGACAAUAAAUUCCAUUUUGACUUUGAAAGCA